rnacentral:misc_RNA from 1 species
CAUAGCCAUGUUGCCACUUCUCCCUGCAUCAUCUCCUGUGACAACUGCUCAAUUAUUAUUAAUUACUGUCAAAUAUAGUGAAAUUAUCUAACCUGGAAGCAGAAACGUAUUUAUUGUAUUUCUAAACAGAAAUUCCCAAUUUACUUAGUUUGCUUACUACAAAAUUGCAAAAUGCAAGCCACACGGCUCCUGUAAAUAAAAUGGCCAAUAAUGGAAGUACUUCUUCGAAAAUAGUAGAGAAGCAUUUACAUUAUGAUGAAAUAGCUUCAAAACUGCUAGAAGACAGAUUUUUAUUAACAGCUCUUGAAUUGCACACUGAACUAUUAGAGUCAGGAAGAGAAUUAAAGAAAUUGCGUGAUUUUUUUUCGAAUCCUGGUAAUUUUGAACAUCAACAAGAAACUUCAUCUUUGACAUCACGUUCUGGCAGUCAGGUAACAUUAGAUAGUUUAGAUCUGACGAGGUUUUCAGAAGAUGAUGAAAAGCAAUAUGAUGAUAAAGUAGCUGUUUUAGAAUUUGAAUUAAGAAAAGCAAAAGAAACCAUUAAUGCAUUAAGGAAUAAUUUAACUGUUGCAAUAGAAUCUGAACAAAGAAAACCAGAUAAGAAAGAUUCCAAUUUUACAAAAUCAGAAGAAAUAAAGCCACAUGAACAACGAGCAUUAAAUUUUCUAAUAAAUGAGUAUUUGUUGCAAUAUGGAUACAAGCUAACUUCUAUUACUUUUGCUGAUGAGAAUGAAAACCAGGAUUUUGAUGAUUGGGACGAUGUAGGUUUAAAUACAGCAAAACCAGCUGAACUGCUUGCAGUUUAUAGAAAGGGUUUAAGGCAGACUACUUCUAGCAUCAACUCUAUUGCAACUCAAACUGAUGAAGUUAAUUCUAAAGAAGAAUUUAACAAAAUUAUUAAUAAAUUGAGAGAAGAAGUUUCUGAAUCCAAUAACAAAAUUGAAAUAUUAAAUUAUGAAAUUCAACAACUGAAAGAAGAAAACAAUAAUUUACAAAAGAAAAAAGAUUCAUUGAAGACUGGUAGUAGUUUAGAUUGUUGUUUGGAUUUCAAAGAACAUGCAAAUUCUUCUGAAAAUUAUGCUAUAAUCGAAAAAGAAUUGACAAAUGCUAGUAGUUCGCCCGAGCAUUUUGAAAUAAUAGAAAACACCGACGAUUCCCAAUGCAGUAACAAAGAUAACUAUCCUGCAUCACUGGAUAAGGUGUCAAAUAACGGUAGUAAUGAAACUGAUUGGACAAAUAUCAGUUUAAAUAAGGAGGAUUGUGCAAAUAUUAAUUUAGAUGAACACAAGAACUUCAAAAUUGAAGGGAAUAAACAAGAAAUUGUUGACCUAGAUCUAACCGACUGUGAUAUUUUGAACAGGAAAUUACCUCAAAAGUUUAAAGAUGAACUUUUCUCGAAAUGUUAUAAAAAUAUCCCAAAAGACAUUAAAGGAAGUUUGUGUGAAAAUAUCCCAAAAGGCGAAAUUUCAAAAAAAGUAUUAAUAGAUAUAAUUUGCGAAUCUCUGUUACGAAUAAUUCCAAAUGUUAUUCUCAACAAAAGAGAAGAAAUUAUCCCAUUAUUGGUUGUGAUAGUACUAUUAAGUAACAAUAGUUCUGAAAGAGAUAAACUUCUUCAGCAACUGUUUAAUCUCAAGAAGAAACCGUCAGAAGAAGAGAGAUUAUCUAUUUUAUCUGGGAUAACAGCGAUUGCAGAACGUUCAGGGCAAAACUUGGUUCAAAAUGAAAUGUUGCCUCAAUGUUGGGAACAGUUAACCCAUAAAUAUCUGGAGAGGCGCCUACUUGUCGCAGAGUCCUGUAAUGUGUUAAUUCCAUACAUUUCUAGUCCAAUUCGAAACUCACUUGUUCUAUCAAUGAUACAACAAAUGUUAGAGGAUCGAGAAGACGGUGUAAGAGAAGUGGCAUUACAAACGCUUGCUCUGGUGAUUGCACAUUGUAAUGACCCUGAUAAAUAUUAUCAAUGUGAACAACUUACUCUAGCAACCUUGAACGACGCAAAUGUUAUCAUAUUUAAUAAAAGCAUACAGUAUCUCUUUCCUUCUUUAGCUCAGUGGGCUACAGAUUUAGGUAAAUUAGAAAGUAGUUUAAUAAAACAAAUUUUGCACAAACUUAAUAAGCACAUAAAGGAUUCCACCUCUGAAAGUGAAGACAUUACUGAUUUAUCAAUGAGACUUAUAUCAGUAUUAGAUCAUCUAUUGCCUUUCAUACUUGUAGAAAUAGUAAAUAGAUCUGAUUUAGCAGAAAAUUCUGAUAAAAACAUGACGAUGGAAAUGAGAUCAGAACUUACCAAACUGUGUACAACAUUAUCUAACCCAUUAAACUUUUAUUCCGGUGAUUUUAAUAUUGGAGUCAUCCUAAAUGAUUUUGACAAAUUAAUAGAAAAUAAUACUUCGAUUACUUGGAAACAAUUGGAAUGGUUUUUAGAUAACAUGUUGCCUGAUUUGCUCAAUAUGGUUUCUCACGUUCAAACAUCAAACCAUAAAUUGUUACAUAGUUUUAUAAGUCUUUUUUUACAUAUAAGCAUGACGUUCGGUAAACCCUUUACUUUGCGUAAAAUUCGUCCUAUUUUCGACAGUCACAUUUAUAACCUUGAAGCUAUUCUCUCUAGUCACAACCACGGUUAUGCUGGAAUAGGAAUUAUUCCAGUGUACCUGGUUUCUGUUUUAAGUUAUUGUGAUGAUACCGAAGAACUUAGUAAUGUAUUAAAAAGGUUUAUAUGCGCUCUUCCACUUUGUGGAGUGCCGUUAGAUUGUUUGGAAAUAGCAGUAAAAGGUUUAUGUCAUUUGGGAAUGCAAGACCUAGUAGCAAGUUGUCUUUGGGAAGGAAUUGUACAUCAGCGACCACUUGUAAGGGCUGCAAUGGCAGGACUAUUAACUGUUGUUGCCGGAGAAUGUGGCCACACUUUACUUUUGUCCAAAGUUGUACCCGCUGUAGUCACCUUAGCUAAUGAUUCAGAGGUUUGUAAAAACAGCAACAAUUCCCACUUUAGGAAGUUUGAUAGCAGAUUGUUCUGUGGCAGAGGUUCGAGAUAAAGCCUGCAUGCAACUUCACACUUUCUUGUUAGACCAAAAACUAAAGGAAAAUCAUUCUUUCAUUAGACAACUUGUUGUUACCUUAGGGUCAAUUGCAGAUAAAUGUUCACCGUCGUUCAGAGAUGACAUAAUACUUAAUCAUUUAAUGUCUUUAUCGGCAUAUACGGCACAAAUGCCAAACGUUAGCAGAAAAGUUGACAUGGUCUUGGCGCUUUUAGAUG